UACUAGAUAUAAGCCGGACUAGUACCAAAUGUGUCCCCAAGUAAUGCAAAGGUAACCAAUUGACACCUUUUCAUCCCCAAGUAAUGCAAAGAAGCGACAGUUGUGCAUAAAUAAAAACCACAACGAAAAAACCAAACGAACAUUUGAAUGAGAUCUCUACGAACAAGAACCACUUUGAAUAGUUUUUUUUAGAUUACCAAUAAAAAAACAAUGCACCGUUAUUCUUGAGGAAUGCAAGUGCGUUUUGUUUGGAAAAAGCAUUCUUAUUCUGAUCGUUGUGAAGUGAAGUAUCAUUUUUCAGUGCAAAUAAGUUAUAAAGUGUUGAAAAUAACAAAUAAAAAGGUCAAAUCAAAAUUUUAGCUGAUGCUUUAGCUGAGUUGAAGGUGAUGGUGCUACGAUCUCAAAGUGAUGAGAUACCAUUAUCGAAUAGGUUCCCCAUCACUUAUGAAAAAUAUUGAGAAUCAAUACAUAUAUGUAAGUAUUUUUUAAAUGUAUUGCUGAACAAACGUAGAUUAUAUACAAUUUUUGUUAAUUUUUGGGUAAAGAUUAUAGCAUCAAUUAUAAAAGGAGAGGAAACAUCGAAAUGUUUAAAAAUGUUAUCGGUUCAAAUAUUACUACGAGUAUAAUAUUGAGGGAAACCAUGGAAAAAAGUUUGAAGUCCCUAAGUAAUAUAUACAGCGUUAUUUUAGAUUCAAUACCAGUUACAGAAUAUUCGGACACCCCUGAAACACAACUGCGAAAAGCAAUACAAGUGCUUUAAUAAAUAUUAAAUUAAACUUAUUUUUGUUCAAGUUCUAUAGAGUAAGGUAUAUUUGUAUUCAUUUGU